GACGAACGCUGGCGGCGUGCUUAACACAUGCAAGUCGAACGGGCCUUGUCCCCUUUUUUUUUGGGGGUGGGGUUCGUGGCGAACGGGCGAGUAACACGCGCGUAACCUGCCUCCCACCUCUGGAUAACCGCUUGUAAGGGUGGCUAAUUAGGGGUGUUCUGGCCUGCUCGCAUGUGUGGGUUUGGGAAGACUCGACCGGUUUUGGUUGUUUUGGUGGGGGGUGGGCUCGGGGCCUAUCAGCGUGUUGGUGGGGUGAUGGCCGGCCAAGGCAGCGGGGGAUGGCCGGCCUGAGAGAGUGGGCGGUCACACUGAGACUGAGACACGGCCCAGACUCCGACGGGAGGCAGCAGUGGGGAAUAUUGCACGAUGGGCGGAAGGAUGAUGCAGGGACGCCGCGUGAGGGAUGGAUGCCUGCGGGUUGUGAACCUCUUUCGCCAGAGAAGAAGGUCCUGCUCUUUGUGGUGGGGUUGACGGGAGCGUGGUUAAUGAAGCGCCGGCUAACUACGUG
rnacentral:rRNA from 1 species